rfam:Roseovarius pacificus strain DSM 29589 genome assembly, contig: Ga0131109_135
AAUCAAGCGCGAGAAGGGCGUUUGGUGGAUGCCUUGGCAGUAAGAGGCGAUGAAGGACGUGAUACUCUGCGAUAAGCCAUGAGGAGCUGAGAAUAAGCUUUGAUCCAUGGAUUUCCGAAUGGGGCAACCCACUUGAUUGUUUCCAGUUAUCGCGCAGCGAUACCCACUCCGUGCCUGCUCAAUGCAGGUUUGGGGCGGUUGCUGUGCGGUUAUCUGGAUGCAAAACCAAGUACUUAAAACCUGAAUACAUAGGGUUUUAAGAGCAAACCCGGAGAACUGAAACAUCUAAGUACCCGGAGGAAAGGACAGCAACAGCGACUCCCCUAGUAGCGGCGAGCGAACGGGGACCAGCCGAGCCUUGAGAGUGACCAGAACAUGUUGGGAAGCAUGGCCAUAGCGGGUGACAGCCCCGUAUGGGAAGCUCGAUGGGACGUAUUAAGUAGGGCGGGACACGUGAAAUCCUGUCUGAAGAUCGGAGGACCACCUUCGAAGGCUAAGUACUCCUUACUGACCGAUAGCGAACCAGUACCGUGAGGGAAAGGUGAAAAGCACCCCGACGAGGGGAGUGAAACAGUACCUGAAACCGAACGCCUACAAUCAGUCGGAGCUUGACUGGACUCUAAUGACAAUCUGCUGCAACAACGUGAUCGACGCAUCACGGAGGGACAGCAUGUCGGAUCUUGCAUUUAUCACGGACGGAACCGUUGCGGUGAUCGGCCUUAUCGUCGGUCUGAUCGACAUGACGGCCAACCACUGCCCGAACGAGGGCUGUCUGGCGAAACGCGAGGUUCAGUCCUACACGGGGAUCUCGGUCGGUGACACGGUUUUCCAGGAAAACACGGUCGGCGAAGAGGUUUACCUGCGUCGGGACACGCGACAUGCCUAUGGCCCCUUCCAGUUGAUCUACGGGCUUUCGGCGACGUCGGAUGGUGAGCUUUGGGCCGGGGUCGGCCAGGCUUAUACAUGGACGAACCGCCGCGAGAACAUGUUCGUGCAGCUGCACGCGAUGGCUGGCCUUUAUGAAGAGGGCAGCGGCGCGGACCUGGGCGGCCCGAUCCAGUUUCGAUCGGGGGUCGAGGUGGGAUAUCAGAACAAGAUGGGCGUACGGAUGAGCCUUGGCGUCGACCACCGGUCGAACGCGGGUCUCUACAGUUCGAACCCCGGUCUUGAGACGGUGCACUUCCGGGUGUCGAUCCCGACGAAGUGAUCCCGAGCACGGCCUCAAGUAGCCCGAAAGGGCGGUAGGCCAACCAAUCCAGAUUGUUAUUAGUGUCCAGUCUUGUGACGGCGUACCUUUUGUAUAAUGGGUCAUCGACUUGGUCUAUCCAGCAAGCUUAAGCCGUUAGGUGUAGGCGCAGCGAAAGCGAGUCUUAAUAGGGCGUCGAGUUGGAUGGAUCAGACCCGAAACCGAGUGAUCUAGGCAUGACCAGGCUGAAGGUAAGGUAACACUUACUGGAGGGCCGAACCCACACCUGUUGAAAAAGGUCGGGAUGAGUUGUGCCUAGGGGUGAAAGGCCAAUCAAACUCGGAGAUAGCUGGUUCUCUGCGAAAUCUAUUUAGGUAGAGCGUCAUCCGAAUACCCUCGGGGGUAGAGCACUGGAUGGGUAAUGGGGCCCCACAGGCUUACUGAUCCUAACCAAACUCCGAAUACCGGGGAGUACUGGAUGGCAGACACACUGCGGAUGCUAACGUCCGUAGUGGAGAGGGAAACAACCCUGACCUACAGCUAAGGCCCCCAAUUCAUGGCUAAGUGGGAAAGCAGGUGGGACGACCAAAACAACCAGGAGGUUGGCUUAGAAGCAGCCAUCCUUUAAAGAUAGCGUAACAGCUCACUGGUCUAAACAAGUUGUCCUGCGGCGAAGAUGUAACGGGGCUCAAGCCAUGAGCCGAAGCUUAGGAGUGCGUAAGCACUGGUAGCAGAGCGUAGUGUGACACAGGACUGAUCUUUACUAUCGCACGUCGGAGACGGGAGCGCAGGCAACUGUGCUCAAGUAGCCGGCAGGCGGUAGCACAAGAUCGAGUCCUUUCGAUGAAGCCGGGGCGUGAGCCAUCCGGUGGAGAGAUCACUAGUGAGAAUGAUGACAUGAGUAGCGACAAACAGGGUGAGAGACCCUGUCGCCGAAAGUCCAAGGGUUCCUGCUUAAAGCUAAUCUGAGCAGGGUAAGCCGACCCCUAAGGCGAGGCCGAAAGGCGUAGUCGAUGGGAACCAGGUUAAUAUUCCUGGGCCAGGAGGAUGUGACGGAUCGUGAAGGUUGUUCAGACUUAUCGGAUUGUCUGGGCCGCUGAUCGGUUCCUGGAAAUAGCACCUCCAUGAGAUCGUACCCUAAACCGACACAGGUGGACUGGUAGAGAAUACCAAGGCGCUUGAGAGAACGAUGUUGAAGGAACUCGGCAAAAUACCUCCGUAAGUUCGCGAGAAGGAGGCCCAGUUUCUACGCAAGUAUUGGCUGGGGGCACAAACCAGGGGGUGGCGACUGUUUACUAAAAACACAGGGCUCUGCGAAGUCGCAAGACGACGUAUAGGGUCUGACGCCUGCCCGGUGCCUGAAGGUUAAAAGGAGAGGUGAGAGCCUUGAAUUGAAGCCCAGGUAAACGGCGGCCGUAACUAUAACGGUCCUAAGGUAGCGAAAUUCCUUGUCGGGUAAGUUCCGACCUGCACGAAUGGCGUAACGACUUCCCCGCUGUCUCCAACAUCGACUCAGCGAAAUUGAAUUGCCUGUCAAGAUGCAGGCUUCCCGCGGUUAGACGGAAAGACCCCGUGCACCUUUACUACAGCUUCGCACUGGCAUCAGGAUUGUGAUGUGCAGGAUAGGUGGUAGGCUUCGAAGCAGGAACGCCAGUUUCUGUGGAGCCUCCCUUGAGAUACCACCCUUCGCACUCUUGAUGUCUAACCGCGGUCCGUUAUCCGGAUCCGGGACCCUGCGUGGCGGGUAGUUUGACUGGGGCGGUCGCCUCCUAAAGCGUAACGGAGGCGCGCGAAGGUUGGCUCAGAGCGGUCGGAAAUCGCUCGUUGAGUGCAAUGGCAGAAGCCAGCCUGACUGCAAGACUGACAAGUCGAGCAGAGUCGAAAGACGGCCAUAGUGAUCCGGUGGUCCCGAGUGGAAGGGCCAUCGCUCAACGGAUAAAAGGUACGCCGGGGAUAACAGGCUGAUACUGCCCAAGAGUCCAUAUCGACGGCAGUGUUUGGCACCUCGAUGUCGGCUCAUCUCAUCCUGGGGCUGGAGCAGGUCCCAAGGGUACGGCUGUUCGCCGUUUAAAGAGGUACGUGAGCUGGGUUUAGAACGUCGUGAGACAGUUCGGUCCCUAUCUGCCGUGGGUGUAGGAUACUUGAGAGGAGUUGCCCCUAGUACGAGAGGACCGGGGUGAACGAUCCACUGGUGGACCUGUUGUCGUGCCAACGGCAGUGCAGGGUAGCUAUGAUCGGACAGGAUAACCGCUGAAGGCAUCUAAGCGGGAAGCCCCCCUCAAAACAAGGUAUCCCUGAGGGCCGUGGUAGACCACCACGUCGAUAGGCCGGAGAUGUAAGCGCAGCAAUGCGUUCAGUUGACCGGUACUAAUUGCCCGACAGGCUUGAUUUG